rnacentral:rRNA from 1 species
UACAGAGGGUGCAAGCGUUAAUCGGAAUUACUGGGCGUAAAGCGUGCGUAGACGGUUGCGUAAGUCAGAUGUGAAAGCCCCGGGCUCAACCUGGGAAUUGCAUUUGAGACUGCGUAGCUAGGGUGCGGAAGAGGGAAGCGGAAUUUCCGGUGUAGCGGUGAAAUGCGUAGAUAUCGGGAAGAACACCGGUGGCGAAGGCGGCGCUCUGGACCGAGACUGACGCUGAGGCGCGAAAGCGUGGGGAGCAAACAGG